GACGAACGCUGGCGGCGUGCUUAACACAUGCAAGUCGAACGGCAAGGCCCUGCUUUUGUGGGGUGCUCGAGUGGCGAACGGGUGCGUAACACGUGAGUAACCUGCCCUUGACUUUGGUAUAACUUCAGGAAACUGGGGCUAAUACCGGAUAGGAUCUCCUGCUGCAUGGUGGGGGUUGGAAAGUUUCGGCGGUUGGGGAUGGACUCGCGGCUUAUCAGCUUGUUGGUGGGGUAGUGGCUUACCAAGGCUUUGACGGGUAGCCGGCCUGAGAGGGUGACCGGCCACAUGGGGACUGAGAGACGGCGCAGAGUCGUACGGGAGGCAGCAGGGGGGAAUAUUGCACAAUGGGCGGAAGCCUGAUGCAGCAACGCCGCGUGCGGGAUGACGGCCUGCGGGGUGUAAACAGCUUUCGCCUGUGACGAAGCGGGAGUGACGGUAAUGGGUAAAGAAGCACCGGCUAACUACGUG
rnacentral:rRNA from 1 species